rnacentral:rRNA from 1 species
AUGCAAGUCGAACGGAAACCUUCGGGGUACUCGAGUGCGAACGGGUGAGUAACACGUGGGUGAUCUGCCCUGCACUUUGGGAUAAGCCUGGGAAACUGGGUCUAAUACCGAAUAGGACUACGGCCUGCAUGGGUUGUGGUGGAAAGCUUUUGCGGUGUGGGAUGGGCCCGCGGCCUAUCAGCUUGUUGGUGAGGUUACGGCUCACCAAGGCGACGACGGGUAGCCGGCCUGAGAGGGUGACCGGCCACACUGGGACUGAGAUACGGCCCAGACUCCUACGGGAGGCAGCAGUGGGGAAUAUUGCACAAUGGGCGCAAGCCUGAUGCAGCGACGCCGCGUGAGGGAUGACGGCCUUCGGGUUGUAAACCUCUUUCGCCAGGGACGAAGCGCAAGUGACGGUACCUGGAGAAGAAGGACCGGCCAACUACGUGCCAGCAGCCGCGGUAAUACGUAGGGUCCGAGCGUUGUCCGGAAUUACUGGGCGUAAAGAGCUCGUAGGUGGUUUGUCGCGUUGUUCGUGAAAACUCACAGCUUAACUGUGGGCGUGCGGGCGAUACGGGCAGACUGGAGUACUGCAGGGGAGACUGGAAUUCCUGGUGUAGCGGUGGAAUGCGCAGAUAUCAGGAGGAACACCGGUGGCGAAGGCGGGUCUCUGGGCAGUAACUGACGCUGAGGAGCGAAAGCGUGGGGAGCGAACAGGAUUAGAUACCCUGGUAGUCCACGCCGUAAACGGUGGGUACUAGGUGUGGGUUUCCUUCCUUGGGAUCCGUGCCGUAGCUAACGCAUUAAGUACCCCGCCUGGGGAGUACGGCCGCAAGGCUAAAACUCAAAGAAAUUGACGGGGGCCCGCACAAGCGGCGGAGCAUGUGGAUUAAUUCGAUGCAACGCGAAGAACCUUACCUGGGUUUGACAUGCACAGGACGUGCCUAGAGAUAGGUAUUCCCUUGUGGCCUGUGUGCAGGGGGCAUGGUGUCGUCACCUGUCGUGAGAUGUUGGAAGUCCCG